rnacentral:misc_RNA from 1 species
GGAAGUAAAAAUCGUAACAAGGUUUCCGUAGGUGAACCUGCGGAAGGAUCAUUCAUAAUAAGUGUUUUACUGCACUUUUUAAAAAUAGUACUCACCUUGUGUGCAAUGUUGUGUUUCUUUUCGGAGAAACACCUACACCAACCUAUAACCUUGAACCACUUUGUCUGAAAAACUAUUAUGAAUACUUAAUUCAAAAUACAACUUUCAACAACGGACCUCUUGGCUCUC